AACGCACAUUGCGCCCCUUGGUAUUCCAGGGGGCAUGCCUGUUUGAGCGUCAUUUCCUUCUCAAACAAUUCUGUUUGGUAGUGAGUGAUACUCUAACUAGGGUUAACUUGAAAUUGAUAGCCUGUUUUGGUUGUGAUUUUGCUGGCUUGGAUGAUUUUGUCCAGUCUAGCUGAUACCGAAUUGUCGUAUUAGGUUUUACCAACUUCGACAGAUAGUGUGUUAGUUUGGGCGUUAUAAAGACAAGGUCGUAAACGAUUUAUCGUUUGUUUAAGUUUUUGCAUGCGCAAUCCGGCGAACAAUACUCUCAAAGUUUGACCUCAAAUCAGGUAGGACUACCCGCUGAACUUAA
rnacentral:misc_RNA from 2 species